AGCUAGCGGUUUGGCUAACGUUGCUGCUAGUGUCUGUGCACUAUUUAAGUGUGUAUAUUUGUUUAUAGCCAGGUUAUGGUCGCGAUUGGUUGUUCUUCCCUCCAGUUUGUGUGUGAUCUAGAUCACCUGCAUAUUUGCUGUUCGCCGAUUAUGGAUAAAGCUGUGAGUAACUGAACCCGUGGGUUUAGCGAUCUACUUCCGGGAGCUGAAGGCCCCAGUGAGGGAAGCUAUCUGCCUUGGCCCUGUGGUGGUGGUGUUUCUCUCAGAGUUUUGAUAUCUGCUUCUCCCUCACUUAGAGUGGGUGUGGUGUGAGUGUCUUUAGGAUACUCACUGUUCAGCUAGCUGCCCUACUGGUUACAAGAAAAUACAUGAAAUUGGAAAUGUGGAAAUGAUUUUAUGAGAGCUUCACGGUGGAAAAACUCUGCCGAUUUUGCAUGGCAUCCAGGACUGAAGCACAACACCUAGAGGUGUCCUCGGCAUCAAGGCAGGAUACACCCUGGACGGAGUGCCAACCCAUCGCAGGGCACACACACACUCUCAUUCACUCACGCAAUCACACACUACGGACAAUCAACCUACCAUGCAUGUCUUUGGACCGGGGGAGGAAACCGGAGUACCCGGAGAAAACCCCCAAGGCAUGGGGAGAACAUGCAAACUCCACACACGCAAGGCGAAGGCGGGAAUCGAACCCCCAACCCUGGAGGUGUGAGGCAAACGUGCUAAACACUAAGCCACCGUGCCCCCUGAAAAUAAUUUAAUAAUUAUUAUUAUUUUUUUUUUACUAGAAAAUGAGGCAUUUUUUGCAUAUUAAUGAGGUUUAUCAUACCAAAUAUCACAAUUUUUUUCAAAAUAUAUUUUAAUAUGUUUGGGACAAGUUAGACUAAAAUUUCAUUUUGAAGUCAUUAAGACUUCAUUUUUUAUAAGCAGUCAAAACAGACAAGGUCAGCUUGACGCUGCUUCUGUUCCUCUUUUUUCACGUUUAGCUUCUCCACGCCUCUUACUCUUUUCCUUUCUUAACCAUUUUUGUUCUUUGUUUUUGAAUAGGAAUUUCUCCUAGAGUUUAUAUAGGCUGAAUCUUAGUUUUAAUUCGAGGUCGAGGGGGAUCAUCUACAACUCCAUUUUCUCCUGUCCUCAUCCUAUUACCUUUUGGGGAUAAUCUCACAAAACAUAUGCCCUGCAUCUUGACUGUUCAAAGUGCAUGACAAAGACAUUCCAUUUUAUUCAGCAGGUGACGUUAUGCUUGGGUAAGAAGGAGCUGAAAGGCAAAGUUUUAGUCUCAAUUUUAUGUACACUGUACAUGUUAAGAGUCUAACAAGUGUUUACAUCUGUCAUAGUAAUACAAUACCAGAAUACAUAUUAUGCCUGUUCAGAGUUUUGGAAAUGUUUAUGCAUUCUAUUAAAACAAUAUAAGACAA